UACGGAGGAUGCAAGCGUUAUCCGGAUUUAUUGGGUUUUUAAAGGGUGCGUAGGCGGAUAAAUAAGUCAGUGGUGAAAUGCCUGCAGCUUAACUGUAGUAAUUGCCAUUGGAUACUGUUUAUCUUGAGUAUCAGCUGAGGUGGGCGGAAUAUGACAUGUAGCGGUGAAAUGCUUAGAUAUGUCAAUAGAACACCGAUUGCGAAGGCAGCUCACUAAACUGUCACUGACGCUGAGGCACGAAAGCGUGGGGGAGCGAAACAG
rnacentral:rRNA from 1 species